rnacentral:rRNA from 1 species
UACGGGGGGAGCAAGCGUUGUUCGGAUUUACUGGGCGUAAAGGGCGCGUAGGCGGCCACCGCAAGUCAAUUGUGAAAUCUCCGGGCUUAACUCGGAAAGGUCAACUGAUACUGCGGGGCUAGAGUGCGGAAGGGGCAACUGGAAUUCUCGGUGUAGCGGUGAAAUGGCGUAGAUAUCGAAGAGGAACACCUGCGGCGAAGGCGGGUUGCUGGGCCGACACUGACGGCUGAGGCGCGAAAGCCAGGGGAGCGAACGGG